rnacentral:rRNA from 1 species
GGGUUUGAUUCUGGCUCAGAUUGAACGCUGGCGGCAUGCCUUACACAUGCAAGUCGAACGGCAGCACGGGAGCAAUCCUGGUGGCGAGUGGCGAACGGGUGAGUAAUAUAUCGGAACGUGCCCAGUCGUGGGGGAUAACGUAGCGAAACGUACGCUAAUACCGCAUACGAUCUAUGGAUGAAAGCGGGGGAUCGCAAGACCUCGCGCGAUUGGAGCGGCCGAUAUCAGAUUAGCUAGUUGGUGGGGUAAAAGCUCACAAAGG